UUGGAGGGCAAGUCUGGUGCCAGCAGCCGCGGUAAUUCCAGCUCCAAUAGCGUAUAUUAAAGUUGUUGCAGUUAAAAAGCUCGUAGUUGAAUUUCGGAAUCCAUCCAUCGGUCGGGCCUCACGGUCCGCACUGGUGUGAUGGAUUUCUACCUUCUGAAUAACCAGCAUGUCAUUAAUUUGGUGCGUUGGGGAAGCAGGACUGUUACCUUGAAAAAAUUAGAGUGCUUAAAGCAGGCUAGUGCCUGAAUACAUUAGCAUGGAAUAAUGAAAUAGGACGGCAUGGUUCUAUUUUGUUGGUUUCUAGGAUCACCGUAAUGAUUAAUAGGGAUAGUUGGGGGCAUUAGUAUUCAAUUGUCAGAGGUGAAAUUCUUGGAUUUAUUGAAGACUAACUUCUGCGAAAGCAUUUGCCAAGGAUGUUUUCAUUAAUCAAGAACGAAAGUUAGGGGAUCGAAGACGAUCAGAUACCGUCGUAGUCUUAACCAUAAACUAUGCCGACUAGGGAUCGGACGAUGUUAAUUUUUUUAAUGACUCGUUCGGCGCCUUACGGGAAAC
rnacentral:rRNA from 1 species